GUCUGUAAGCGGCUUCUUAAUUCAUUUUAGUGAUAUAAAGAUAGGAGUUUUUAUUAUUUUAUCUGUAUGUAUCUGCUGCUACUAUGGUGAGAUGACUUCUUAGGACUAGCACAGACGAAUGAUAUAAUCAUCAUUAUCAUCAAUCAUCGUUGUUAUCUGGAUACUCGCGGCAAGUCAGUAUUUUUUACGUUUACAAAAUCAAUAGAAGUACUUACUUUUGCUUUUUCAGGUGGAGAGGUAUUUUAGAGCCCAUAUUAUACAGCAGUGUUGUCUUGAUUUAACCCAAUCAUUACAGGAUCUUGUUAUGUACUGUACAUGCAGUUACAGCCUUGGAUUAGAUCAUAUUUAAAGGGGAAAAAGUAGUCUUUAAUAAUAAUAAAUAUAAAGUACUGUGCAAAAGUCUUAAGACACCAUUAGAUGUUGUUUUAGCAAUGGUAUAGUGACCAUAUAAUUAUUUCUCAGUCUCUUUAUUAGAAUAUAACCAGGAAAUACAUUAAAUUUGUAAGCGGUAUUGAAAAACUGUAUUAAUAAAGUGGUAAGUGUUUAGUGACCUCUUCUUACACUUGAGCAAUAGCGAGAAUCUGGCUCUCUUAAACCUAAAUGGAAUGGAAAAUGACUGGAAGGUCAAGAAAACUUUCAAAAUCUGAUCAGAAGUUUCUCCUUUGAAAAAACUGUAAGAAGUCUAGGAGGUCACACUAAAUACUGAUUUUUGCUUAAAGAAGCCAUUUUGUUCUGAUUUUUUUUUUUCAUUUUGUGUACAUAUUUCCUGUAUUUUCUGUUUGUGUUGUAAUAAAGACCGAAAAAUAAACAUGGAUGGUCAUUAAAACAUUGCUAAAACAACAAAGCUAAGACUUUUGCACAAUACUGUAUGUCCAAAUGCAAAACCUAAUACAUUAAAGUAAUUAUGACUGAAAUUAUAUAUAAUUUGUUUGAAAUAAAUAUUUUAAAGGUGCCGUAGAACGUGUUUUCAAAAGAUGUAAUAUAAGUCUCAGGUGUCCCCUGAAUGUGUCUGUGAAGUUUCAGCUCAAAAUACCCCAUAUAUUUUUUUUUUUUAUUCAUUUUUUUUAACUGCCUAUUUUGGGGCAUCAUUAAAUAUGCGUCGAUUCAGGCUGCGGCCCCUUUAAAUUCUCGUGCUCCCCGCCCCCGGAGCUCCCGCUUGCCUUAAACAGCAUAAACAAAGUUCACACAGCUAAUAUAACCCUCAAAAUGGAUCUUUACAAAGUGUUCGUCGUGCAGCAUGUCUAAUCGCGGAGUGGAGCAACUUUUCCAUUAACAAAAUUCUGAUGCUGACCCAGAGGAUGGAGUGGUAGCACCAGAGAUCCACUGUCCCCAUCAGACAAGAAUCUUAUUUUGUUCAGACACAUCACCUUUGACAGACUGGGAUCUUGAUCUUCAGACACCUGAUAUUAUGCAAUUAUUUUAAUUUCUUUGGAGCUCUAGAUUAAAACAGACACAGUUCACAAACACACAAGAGGUUGUACUUUGUUCUUAUUAGUCCAUACUGAUCUUGGAUUAGCAUACCAACAACAUAUGAAUGUUAAGGUGAUAGAAGAAGAACAGUUAUGAUUUUUAUCCAUUCAUUUACAUGACAGUGGUGUUUUGGGGGCCUAAAAAUGCUAACUUUUGAAAAUGGGUUUCAAAUUGAACGUUUUUGAAAAUGAUACUGUUAUCUUCUCCAAGUAAACUACAAUAAUGCAAAUUUGUAAAGACAGUGAUAUUGUGUGUAUUAUUUGUUCAGUAUAGCUGCGUAGUGAUUCUUUACAAAGUGACAUCGCCAACUACUGGCCUGGCAUGAAUAAUACAGUGUUUUUAGUUUUUUUCACAGAUGUGUGUGAACAGAUGGUUUUGAUAAUGUUGUCGUCUAUAUGUACAUUGUUGUGGUGUAAUCGUACCCUUAUACUUUGCGCACCUUUUUAAAAAAAGGUUUUAGAUAGUAGCUAAUGUUAGCUAGAGAGAUCAACCUUGAUAUAGUGAUCACAGGCAAUCAAAUGUAUCCAUUCAGAAGAGCAGUAACGAAGCACAAUUAACAUAUUAACGUUUCUCGCAUUUUUAUGUUUCAACAGAUGUUGAGAGCAACCCAGAGAGCUCAAUUCCUAAUUGGCUCAAGAGGACCAAAGAAAUUAAAAACUUGAUUAUGUUGAUGUCAAUGUGCUUUUUGGUAUUUCUGAAACCUGUAGCUGUAAUUUAAUUUUUUUUUUGCCAAAACUUUUGUCAGAUAAAUAACUGCAUAAAAAAUAAAAAUAUUUUCCUCAUA